rnacentral:rRNA from 1 species
UUAGGCAAAUCCGGCACUCUUAAGAUUGAGCUGUGAUGGGGAGAGGAACUUGUUCCUCGAGUCGUUGAUUUCACACUGCCGAGAAAAGCCUCUAGCUAGAAUAACGGUGCCCGUACCGCAAACCGACACAGGUAGUCAAGAUGAGAAUUCUAAGGUGAGCGAGCGAACUCUCGUUAAGGAACUCGGCAAAAUGACCCCGUAACUUCGGGAGAAGGGGUGCUCUUUGAGGUUCACGCUUCGAAGAGCCGCAGUGAAUAGGCCCAAGCGACUGUUUAUCAAAAACACAGGUCUCUGCUAAACCGUAAGGUGACGUAUAGGGGCUGACGCCUGCCCGGUGCUGGAAGGUUAAGAGGAGUGGUUAGCGCAAGCGAAGCUACGAAUCGAAGCCCCAGUAAACGGCGGCCGUAACUAUAACGGUCCUAAGGUAGCGAAAUUCCUUGUCGGGUAAGUUCCGACCCGCACGAAAGGCGUAACGAUUUGGGCACUGUCUCAACGAGAGACUCGGUGAAAUCAUAGUACCGGUGAAGAUGCCGGUUACCCGCGACAGGACGGAAAGACCCCGUGGAGCUUUACUGUAGCCUGAUAUUGAAAUUCGGUACAGUUUGUACAGGAUAGGUAGGAGCCUUAGAAGCGUGAGCGCUAGCUUACGUGGAGGCAUUGGUGGGAUACUACCCUAAUUGUAUUGGAUUUCUAACCCGCAGCACUUAUCGUGCUGGGAGACAGUGUCAGGCGGGCAGUUUGACUGGGGCGGUCGCCUCCUAAAGAGUAACGGAGGCGCUCAAAGGUUCCCUCAGAAUGGUUGGAAAUCAUUCAUAGAGUGUAAAGGCAUAAGGGAGCUUGACUGCGAGACCUACAAGUCGAGCAGGGUCGAAAGACGGACUUAGUGAUCCGGUGGUUCCGCAUGGAAGGGCCAUCGCUCAACGGAUAAAAGCUACCCCGGGGAUAACAGGCUUAUCUCCCCCAAGAGUUCACAUCGACGGGGAGGUUUGGCACCUCGAUGUCGGCUCAUCGCAUCCUGGGGCUGUAGUCGGUCCCAAGGGUUGGGCUGUUCGCCCAUUAAAGCGGUACGCGAGCUGGGUUCAGAACGUCGUGAGACAGUUCGGUCCCUAUCCGUCGUGGGCGUAGGAAAUUUGAGAGGAGCUGUCCUUAGUACGAGAGGACCGGGAUGGACAUACCUCUGGUGUACCAGUUGUCGUGCCAACGGCAUAGCUGGGUAGCUAUGUAUGGACGGGAUAAGUGCUGAAAGCAUCUAAGCAUGAAGCCCCCCUCGAGAUGAGAUUUCCCAACUUCGGUUAUAAGAUCCCUCAAAGAUGAUGAGGUGAAUAGGUUCGAGGUGGAAGCGUAGUGAUACGUGGAGCUGACGAAUACUAAUCGAUCGAAGACUUAAUCAA